AGUCGAGCGCGGAAGCUCACGGAACUCUUCGGAGGGAAGUGAAGGGAAUGAGCGGCGGACGGGUGAGUAACACGUAAGGAACCUGCCCCAAGGAUUGGGAUAACUCCGAGAAAUCGGAGCUAAUACCGAAUAGUUCUUCAGACCGCAUGGUCUGAUGAUGAAAGGCGCUCCGGCGUCACCUUGGGAUGGCCUUGCGGUGCAUUAGCUAGUUGGUGGGGUAAUGGCCCACCAAGGCGACGAUGCAUAGCCGACCUGAGAGGGUGAUCGGCCACACUGGGACUGAGACACGGCCCAGACUCCUACGGGAGGCAGCAGUAGGGAAUCUUCCACAAUGGACGAAAGUCUGAUGGAGCAACGCCGCGUGAGUGAUGAAGGUUUUCGGAUCGUAAAACUCUGUUGUAAGGGAAGAACAAGUACGAGAGGUAAUGCUCGUACCUUGACGGUACCUUGCGAGAAAGCCACGGCUAACUACGUGCCAGCAGCCGCGGUAAUACGUAGGUGGCAAGCGUUGUCCGGAAUUAUUGGGCGUAAAGCGCGCGCAGGCGGCCUUUUAAGUCUGAUGUGAAAGCCCCCGGCUCAACCGGGGAGGGUCAUUGGAAACUGGAAGGCUUGAGUACAGAAGAGAAGAGUGGAAUUCCAUGUGUAGCGGUGAAAUGCGUAGAGAUGUGGAGGAACACCAGUGGCGAAGGCGACUCUUUGGUCUGUAACUGACGCUGAGGCGCGAAAGCGUGGGGAGCAAACAGGAUUAGAUACCCUGGUAGUCCACGCCGUANACGAUGAGUGCUAGGUGUUGGGNGGUUUCCGCCCCUCAGUGCUGAAGCUAACGCAUU
rnacentral:rRNA from 1 species